CAGAGGGGGCAAGCGUUGUUCGGAAUUACUGGGCGUAAAGGGCGCGUAGGCGGCCUCUUAAGUCGAACGUGAAAUCCCCGGGCUCAACCCGGGAACUGCGUCCGAUACUGGGAGGCUUGAAUCCGGGAGAGGGAUGUGGAAUUCCAGGUGUAGCGGUGAAAUGCGUAGAUAUCUGGAGGAACACCGGUGGCGAAGGCGGCAUCCUGGACCGGUAUUGACGCUGAGGCGCGAAAGCUAGGGGAGCAAACGGGAUUAGAUACCCCGGUAGUCCUAGCCCUAAACGAUGAAUGCUUGGUGUGGCGGGUAUCGAUCCCUGCCGUGCCGAAGCUAACGCAUUAAGCAUUCCGCCUGGGGAGUACGGUCGCAAGGCUG
rnacentral:rRNA from 1 species